UUUCUUUUCAGGGCUAGACAUUCUGGUGGUUGUGAAGGAGGAGCUUGGGGUGGUUUCAUUUGCAUUUCCUUCAGGACUGGAGGUCUUUGUAUAUGUUCGUUUACACCAAUAUGUCGUCUUUGCCGGAGCGUUUGUUCAGAUCUUUUUCCAUUUUUUAAUUGGGUUGUGUUUUCUUGUGAAGUUUUGGGAAUUCUUCAUCUGUUCUAGAUUUGAGUCCUUUAUCAGUUGCGAGAUUUGCAGAUAAGCCUGUGGGCUGUCUUCAUUGUCUUAACGAUGUCUUUCAAAGGGCAGUUCUUAAUUUUUUGGAAAUCUGUUUUAUCAGUGUUUUAUGGAUUCUGCUUUUAGAACCAUUAGAAAUGUUUGCCUUAUCCAAGGUCACAAAGUUUUUCUUUUACGUUUUUGUCUGAAAUGUCUGUACUUUAACUCUCCCCCAGGUCUGUGAUCUGCUUUGAGCUAACUUCCGCCUGCAGUGCGAGGUGCGGGCUGAGGCUCGUUCUUUGGCACCUGACCGCCAGGCACCGUGCACUGACAGCCGUUCUAUGGGUUACCUGGCAGCUUGGUAGCAUUGUUUUUUGUCACAAAAGUGGGCACCUGGCCCUCUGCCUGGCUAACAGGUGGAUUGUGUACACCUAGGCUCCACCGAGGACACCGCGUCCAGCUUGUGUGGCGAGGAGGACACGGAGGACGAGGAGCUGGAAGCCGCGGCCAGCCACCUGAACAAAGACUUAUACCGGGAGCUCCUUGGUGGCGCCCCCGGCAGCUCGGAAGCAGCCGGAAGCCCCGAGUGGGGCGGCAGACCUCCGGCCCUGGGGUCCCUGCUGGACCCCCUCCCCACCGCAGCCAGCCUGGGCAUCUCAGACUCCAUCCGCGAAUGCAUCUCCUCUCAGAGCAGCGACCCCAAUGCUUCAGGAGACGGUGAGCUGGACCUCAGUGGCAUUGAUGACCUGGAGAUUGACAGGUACAUCCUGAAUGAGUCGGAAGCCCGCGUGAAGGCCGAGCUGUGGAUGAGGGAGAACGCCGAGUACCUGCGGGAACAGAGGGAAAAAGAAGCAAGAAUAGCGAAAGAGAAGGAGCUCGGCAUCUACAAGGAACACAAGCCCAAGAAGUCUUGCAAGCGACGGGAGCCAAUUCAGGCCAGUACCGCCAGGGAGGCCAUCGAGAAGAUGCUGGAGCAGAAGAAGAUCUCCAGCAAGAUCAAUUAUAGCGUGCUCCGGGGCCUCAGCAGCGCCGGCGGGGGCAGUCCGCACAGGGAGGAUGCACAGCCCGAGCAUAGCGCCAGUGCCAGGAAGCUGUCACGAAGGAGGACGCCGGCCAGCAGAAGUGGGGCUGACCCUGUGACCAGUGUGGGGAAAAGGUUGAGGCCUCUGGUGUCUACGCAGCCAGCAAAGAAGGUGGCCACGGGAGAGGCUUUGCUCCCAAGCUCUCCCACCCUCGGAGCUGAGCCUGCCAGGCCCCAGGCGGUGCUGGUGGAGAGCGGGCCCGUGUCAUACCACGCCGACGAGGAGGCUGACGAGGAGGAGCCCGACGAGGAGGAUGGGGAGCCCUGCGUCAGUGCCCUGCAGAUGAUGGGCAGCAACGACUAUGGCUGUGAUGGCGACGAGGACGACGGCUACUGAAGUGUGGCCUCCAGGCAGGUGAUGUCCUGGCAGGGGGCCUCGCGGGUCUCCUCAGCAUCAGACGGGCUUCCAGGACCACAGCAGGCAGGCCCCAGCGCCGAGACUCCUGGUGACAGGUGGCACCUGUCCCACAGCCCUCGUCCCAUGUGGAACUUACCAUUGGGAUUGUGUUUCUAUUCAGCAAGGGAAACCGGACCAAGCGUCUGCAUGUGUGUGAUCAGAUGUGGGCCGGGUGUGUGCAGGGCUGGGUCCCGCUGCCUGCCGUCGACUCAUCCAAGGACCCUCCAAGGCUGGCAGUGUGGUGUUGCUACUAUUAAGGAAACAGGCUUGGGGCAGCCCCACUGCUGGUCCAAGUGUGUGGAGGGCUGAGUGUGCUGGCCCUGUGACUCAGGACCAGCUCUGGAGUCCCCAGCCCACCCUCCGCACCGUCCCCUCCUGAGCAGCACUCGGCGCCAGCAGCCUCUGCCAGAGUGGAAGCCAGAGCCCUGCAGGUGUCCGGCGCAGCCGUGGGAGCUGAGGAUCUGGUACUUGAGAGGCAGCAGCUCCUUGAAGGUCCUCUGCCUCCAGCUGUGGCCCUGCAUCCAGAUACCUGCCUCGUCCGAGGCAGACACCCCCACCCCUGCCUCCUCCAGACCCCCUUCCCCGCUGCCUGCACCGCCUGGAGCAGCAUGGGGGUCAGACCCCUGCUCCAGGGCCACUUGAGUUGUGGGCCCAGGAGCCCUGCGGCUGCUGGCAGGUGAACUGAGUGCCCGACAGCUGAGACCAGCGCCCACCCGUCCUGAGCAUAGCUCUGUAGGCAGUGCGGGCAUAGCUUGCAUAGUGUCCUGGCGCUGGGAGUUCCCCGUGGACAGAGCCAGAGGGCAGUGGCGCUCCCUGUCAGAGCUGGAUCAGGCCCCCCAUCGAGGAGGGAGGGCAGACGGAGGCCCGAGAGCCUCCCCAGGCCUCUUCGUGGGAAGGCCUCAGUACCAGUCGUAGGGGGUCUCAGCUCUGGCAUGGCUGCCCCGGAUGUGGCCAAGGAGGGGGCUUCACCCUGUGUCCUUAGGAGAGGGUGGCCUUGAGGCAGAGCCGUGCCUCACUGACCCCCAGGGGCCUCAUCCUCCCCAUGGAAUGGGCUGUAUGUCCUGCCCCAACUUGGCCCGCAGCAGGCCAGACCCCCCUACCCCCGCCCAGAGCUCAGCAGCCAGCCUGGGUCCUGCCAGGGCUUCUCGAGGGCUUGGGGGAAGAAUAGAUUUAGUAAAGCAGGAAGAUCUGUUGUUACUUAACAG
rnacentral:sRNA from 1 species